rfam:Stegodyphus mimosarum contig105666, whole genome shotgun sequence.
GCCUUCCUGGUGUAAUGGUCUGCACACUGAGCCGGUAUUUCAGAGGUCCGUGGUUCGAUUCCCGGCGAAGGAA